rnacentral:rRNA from 1 species
GAUGAACGCUAGCGGCAGGCUUAACACAUGCAAGUCGAGGGGUAUUGGUUUUCGGACCAAGAGACCGGCGCACGGGUGCGUAACGCGUAUGCAAUCUACCUUUUGCAGAGGGAUAGCCCCAGAGAAAUUUGGAUUAAUACCUCAUAGUAUAGUACUUUGGCAUCAAGGAACUAUUAAAGUCACAACGGCAAAGAUGAGCAUGCGUCCCAUUAGCUAGUUGGUAAGGUAACGGCUUACCAAGGCUACGAUGGGUAGGGGUCCUGAGAGGGAGAUCCCCCCACACUGGUACUGAGACACGGACCAGACUCCUACGGGAGGCAGCAGUGAGGAAUAUUGGACAAUGGGCGCAAGCCUGAUCCAGCCAUGCCGCGUGCAGGAUGACGGUCCUAUGGAUUGUAAACUGCUUUUGUACAGGAAGAAACCCUUUCACGUGUGGAAGNUUAGACGGUACUGUAAGAAUAAGGAUCGGCUAACUCCGUGCC